AACCUAGCACACCUGCGGUGUGUACCUGCGGAGGGAUCAUUACACAAUACAAUAUGAAGGCUGUCCGCAGCUGGAGUAUUUUAUUACCCUUGUCUUUUGCGCACUUGUUGUUUCCUGGGCGGGUUCGCUCGCCACCAGGACCACCAAAUAAACCUUUUUAUGCAGUUGCAAUCAGCGUCAGUACAAACAAUGUAAAUCAUUUACAACUUUUAACAACGGAUCUCAGAUCGGAAGAGCACA
rnacentral:misc_RNA from 1 species